rnacentral:tRNA from 1 species
ACGACCGUAGCUCAGUUGGUUAGAGCGCACCCCUGAUAAGGGUGAGGUCGGUGGUUCGAAUCCACUCGGUCGUACCA